rnacentral:rRNA from 1 species
UACGUAGGCAGCAAGCGUUGUUCGGAAUUACUGGGCAUAAAGAGUGUGUAGGCGGUGCUCUAAGUUCGGUGUGAAAUCUCCUGGCUCAACUGGGAGGGUGCGCCGGAAACUGGGGUGCUGGAGCGCGGGAGAGGAAAGCGGAAUUCCUGGUGUAGCGGUGAAAUGCGUAGAUAUCAGGAGGAACACCGGCGGUGUAGACGGCUUUCUGGACCGUAGCUGACGCUCAUGCACGAAAGCGUGGGGAGCAAACAGG